UACGUAGGGGGCAAGCGUUAUCCGGAAUUACUGGGUGUAAAGGGUGCGUAGGUGGUAUGGCAAGUCAGAAGUGAAAACCCAGGGCUUAACUCUAGGACUGCUUUUGAAACUGUCAGACUAGAGUGCAGGAGAGGUAAGCGGAAUUCCUAGUGUAGCGGUGAAAUGCGUAGAUAUUAGGAGGAACAUCAGUGGCGAAGGCGGCUUACUGGACUGAAACUGACACUGAGGCACGAAAGCGUGGGGAGCAAACAGG
rnacentral:rRNA from 1 species